UUUUUUUUAUAUGGUGGACUACAUUAAUUGAUUUAUGUAUGUUGAAUCAUCACUGCAUCUCAGGUGUCAGUCACAGGAAUGAAUAUUCUGGAAGUUUAUCGAAGACCCCCACCUCAGAAGAUAGAAUCUACUCCGGUCAACCCUGUAAAGAACCACAUUUAUAGUUUGAGACAUCAGGAAGACUUAGGUGACAUACCUGAAGAAAGAGAAGAUGUCUGAAGAUUAUGAGAGCAAAGCCGAGAAGUUUGAGAAAGACAGUUGCAUUCUACCAGCACCCUGUCAUAUCAGAAUAAAUAUCCUUGGCCUCAGGAAGAUGCUCAUA